rfam:Nicotiana attenuata strain TT chromosome 10, whole genome shotgun sequence.
GGACAAUGACGACUACUUUUCAGAUUGGUCUCGUUCGUCGUAAUGGUGUAAAUCCACCUUGCCGACCAUCCUGAUAUAUCACCACCCAUAAACUGAGUCC